UACGAGGGGGGCAAGCGUUGUUCGGAAUUACUGGGCGUAAAGUGUGCGCAGGUGGCUUCGCAAGUCGAGUGUGAAAUCCCCGGGCUUAACCUGGGAAUUGCGCUCGAAACUACGGAGCUGGAGUAUGGCAGAGGGAGGUGGAAUUCCACGUGUAGCGGUGAAAUGCGUAGAGAUGUGGAGGAACACCAAUGGCGUAGGCAGCCUCCUGGGCCAAUACUGACACUCAUGCACGAAAGCGUGGGGAGCAAACAGG
rnacentral:rRNA from 1 species